AUUUUUCAGGACGAAAUGAAGCUGAAGACACAUCUGUUCUUUUGCGCUAUGGCUCUGAGCAGCACUGUGCUUCAAUUAUGUUCAGCAGAAGAAUCGACGUAUCCAUACGAUCAUGAAGUCAAAGAUGGCCAGAUUUUGGACGAUAAGUAUCCAGGCACUGCUUGCGAAAGGCUUAUGAAUUGUGUUGCCUGUGUCAAGUCAAUGGCAGACAGCGACCUGACAGACAAAUCUUGGACCGAAAUUCGAUCGAAAAUUUUGUCAUGCGGCGGGCUGAAAGAAGGUCCGAGCACCAGUCAUUCGUUUAAUGAUGCGAAUCAUUGUGAUUUGACCACUAUGCUGUCUAGUGUUCAAAGCAAUUCGAAUGCAGAUGGCAAGGUCAUUGGGAUUUCAACUCAAAACGCCUUAGGGGCGCUUAUUGUUGCUGAAUCUGAUCCGUCAAAGGGAGAGGGUGGCAGUUGGUCUACGUGUAUAAUUGGCAAUAAUAACAAAGAGGGACCUCAAGACGUCGCUCACAUACAAUUUAAGUCUAGAAUAGCAUUCAAAUUAGUUUGGUGCGCAGAUGACGAUUAUAGGAAGUUUCUCUUAGUUGAUGAUGUGGGAAAUAUAUUAAAGGAGGGGCAUGUUCAGAGUGGCGAUACGACGAAGCCAAGCAAGUUUGAGAGAAUGCUGAAUAACCAAUAUGUUAAAGGAGGAAUAUACGAUUCUUGCUGAUGCGGCAUUUGGACAUAUUUAUUUAAAGACUCAUUAAAGGUUAAUACAGGUGAAAUAUAUUUGAUCCAGAGACCCGCAAGAAGUAGUGAAUGGCCUGAAAAUUUUCCAUAUUAUCCUAAUUAUGUUUGUUUUUCAAUUAUUUGUCAAAUCGGGAAAAUAUUUAGAAAGUA